GUGAGGAAUAUUGGUCAAUGGGCGGAAGCCUGAACCAGCCAAGUCGCGUGAAGGAAGAAGGAUCUAUGGUUUGUAAACUUCUUUUGAAGGGGGAUAAAGUGCGUCACGAGUGGUGCAUUGCAGGUACCCUUGGAAUAAGCAUCGGCUAACUCCGUGCCAGCAGCCGCGGUAAUACGGAGGAUGCGAGCGUUAUCCGGAUUUAUUGGGUUUAAAGGGUGCGUAGGUGGCUUUUUAAGUCAGCGGUGAAAACUGGCGGCUCAACCGCAAGAGUGCCGUUGAAACUGGGGAGCUAGAGUAUGAACGAGGUAGGCGGAAUGCGUGGUGUAGCGGUGAAAUGCAUAGAUAUCACGCAGAACUCCGAUAGCGAAGGCAGCUUACCAGGCCAUAACAGACACUGAAGCACGAAAGCGUGGGGAUCGAACAGGAUUAGAUACCCCAGUAGUCC
rnacentral:rRNA from 1 species